rnacentral:rRNA from 1 species
UACAGAGGUCACAAGCGUUAUCCGGAUUUAUUGGGCGUAAAGCGUUUCGUAGGCGGUAGUAAAAGUUAUCCUUCAAAGACCACGGCUCAACCGGGGGAAGGGGGGUAAUACUAUACUGCUUUAGACUCAUGACGGGGCUUCUGGAACUGAUGGUGUAGUAGUGAAAUACGUUGAUAUCAUCAGGAACUCCAAGGGCGAAGGCAGGAAGCUAAUCAUGCAGUGACGCUGAGGAACGACAGCUAGGG